GUGGGAGUGUUGGCUCCCAUUUCCUUGGCACCAGCAACUCCACAUCUCAGCAACAUGGAUUUAAAGAAUUUAAGGCACUGUCAACAGUUACUGCAGGGAGGGCAGUGGAGAUUCAAGAUAUUGCUUUUGAAGUGCUUCCAGAUUGUACCUAAAGCUGAGCCUAGAUCUGUGAGAGAGGAGACUAUAACCUUACCUGCUCCACUGAAGUUGGAGGUGGGGUGCUGUGUGUUAAAGGCUUACACUGGGCAUCUGCACAGGGGCUCUGGCUUCUUCACCUGGCUCUGCUGCUGUUCCAGCUGAAUGG